rnacentral:misc_RNA from 1 species
GAUGAAGGACGUAGUGAAAUGCGAUAAGUAAUGUGAAUUGCAGAAUUCAGUGAAUCAUCGAAUCUUUGAACGCACCUUGCGCUCCUUGGUAUUCCGAGGAGCAUGCCUGUUUGAGUGUCAUGAAAUUCUCAACCUUUCUGGCUUUUGCUAGUCAGGCUUGGAUUAUGGGAGCUGCUGGCUUUUGAAGUCGGCUCUUCUAAAAUGUAUUAGCAAGAUCAUUGCUGCUCAUCAUUGGUAUGAUAAUUAUCUAUAUCAUUGAGAGUCAGUUUCCUUUAUUGGAAGAUUUUGCUCCUAACGGUCUUUAGCAAGACAACAUUUGACGAUUUUGACCUCAAAUCAGGUAGGACUACCCGCUGAACUUAAGCAUAUCAAUAAGCGGAGGA